AUUCAUCUUCCAGAAGGUCCCAGAGCGUCCACACCCCUGAAAAGACCAAGAUGUGAGGUGUCUGCUGUUGAUUCCAGCUUCCACCUCAGUGACAGUGCAAGCUCAGUGAACUGUUCAAGGAGGCUACUGAUUCUGCCCCUGUGACACUUGGUGGUGACGUGUGAGCUGAUUCACCUGGACACUCAGCAAAAUAUGGACUCUACACCAUGAGGCAGGCACACGUUAAUAACUCUAUAACAGCACAUAAGGUGAGCAACACCACAUAUUGUACACUGUCCUGGAUUUGUUUUCUUUCUGCAUCUCAUCAUUAGCCUGGCUGAUCACCUGAUAACUCCUGUCAUCUGGUUGUGACAGCAUGAGGAUGUCCUCACACACCUGUAACCUAUCAGCUCAUCUGGCAGAAUAGAGAGAGAAGAGACAACACCACAUCUCCUGUUCCUGGAAAGCCUUCAGCCAUCCUUCGAUGACUGAGAACCUCCAUCAGCUCUGUCUCCUGUCUGCCUACAAUUAUUAUAAUAAAU